rnacentral:rRNA from 1 species
AUUGAACGCUGGCGGCAUGCCUAACACAUGCAAGUCGCGCGGUCAGCAAUGGCAGCGGCGGACGGGUGCGUAACGCGUAGGAACGUGUCUUGAGGUGGGGGACAACCCUGGGAAACUGGGGCUAAUACCGCAUAUGGGCUGAGGCCCAAAGCCGUGAGGCGCCUUGAGGGCGGCCUGCGUCCGAUUAGCUAGUUGGUGGGGUAAAGGCCUACCAAGGCUCCGAUCGGUAGCUGGUCUGAGAGGACGAUCAGCCACACUGGGACUGAGACACGGCCCAGACUCCUACGGGAGGCAGCAGUGGGGAAUAUUGGACAAUGGGCGCAAGCCUGAUCCAGCAAUGCCGCGUGGGUGAAGAAGGUCUUCGGAUCGUAAAGCCCUUUCGACAGGGACGAUGAUGACGGUACCUGUAGAAGAAGCCCCGGCUAACUUCGUGCCAGCCGCCGCAGUAA